UUGUCCGGAAUCAUUGGGCGUAAAGCGCGCGUAGGCGGCCCUGUAAGUCCGCUGUGAAAGUCAAAGGCUCAACCUUUGAAUGUCAGCGGAUACUGCCAGGCUAGAGUCCGGAAGAGGCGAGUGGAAUUCCUGGUGUAGCGGUGGAAUGCGCAGAUAUCAGGAGGAACACCAACGGCGAAGGCAGCUCGCUGGGACGGUACUGACGCUGAGGCGCGAAAAGCGUGGGGAGCGAACAGG
rnacentral:rRNA from 1 species